rnacentral:lncRNA from 1 species
CUUGCUGACACUAAUUAUUAGCAUAUUUGUCUAGAACGUUUAUAUAUCGGAUAAAAACUGUAACCAAUUAUUGUAUUGUUCAUUUGAUCACUUGGUUGUACACGUUUGCACUCAUAGGGGUUAGUACAUGUGUGUACAUGUAUUUUGCGACAGUAUAAACUAUAUAUGUUUGCAAGAAAAUUUUCAUUCAGCUUAAAUUCUUAUGCUCAUCAUAGUUAAGAAAAACUAUAUUAGAAAAACUAUCAGGUUCUAUAAUGCCUACUAUUACUGCAAUGGCUUUGCAUCUGGUAGUGUGUAAUCGGCAAUGAUGUUGAGGGGCUAUCAUUGGCAGUGGUAAAACUGGCAGUGUCGAGCUUUCAAAAAAAUAAAAAAGGAAAAGGUCCCAAAAAUAUCU